ACUACCACAACUUCAACAACAACCACUUCAGCUACCACUAAUGUACCAGGCAAGCCUUGUCCCUCAUGCGAUGAAAACCUGAACUGUGUUUGGAACCAGACCUGUUCAGCAUCAGAAUCAUGCAUGGUGAGGGCUGUGACAGGUCACGGAUUUCAAUUCACUGUACAUUGUAUCCUAAGUCAAGACUGUCAUUUCAUGACCACAUUUUUACACAACUCAGAAAUCUACUGCUGUGAUGAUAGAGAAUGUCUUAGAAAAUAUAUUGGGAUAUAGACUGUAGUUCUGUUGUUUCUGCUGUAGAUAUUAGAUAUGCAAGUCUUGGAAAAGAAUAAAAAUGUACUCUUUCACAAAAUAAAAUG